UUCAAGCGAUUCUCCUGCCUCAUCCUCUCGAGUACCUGGGAUUACAGGCAUGCGCCACCACGCCUGGCUAAUUUUGUAUUUUUAGUAGAGAUGGGGUUUCUCCAUGUUGGUCAGGCUGGUCUGCCUUGGCCUCCCAAAGUGCUGGGAUUACAGGCGUCAGCCACCGCAUCCAGCCAGCAUUAGUUCUACAUAACUGAACUUAAUGCUCAUCACCAGGCCUUAUGUCAAUGUUUUUCUAGUCAUUUUGAUUGUCUGAAGUUUAUUCUCUAGUAGAUUCCUCAGGAAAAGCUUAUGGGUAUAAUAUUCCCUGAGAUCUUGCAUGCUGAUAACCUGUCCCAUUGGCCAGAACUUAGUCACGUGGCCAUGCCUAGCUAGAAGGCCCUUGGCCUCUGUAAGGCUGUCUCUGUCUCUCUGUAUCUGUUCUGGGAACCGCUCAUACUGGGGCUCCCCUAUGACAUGGCCAUAUCUCUCCUUUGAGACUGGGGUUCUUGAAGGGCAGAGGUGUGUCUUGCCCCCUGGAUGAGGGCUCCCUAAGAAGAAUGAUUUUUCCCCUCCCUCCAAGGGCAGGAUCUAUGUCCCCUUGUCCUGGUGUCCUCUUCCACCCCCAUGCUCAGCAGGGCACCCUGGUGUUUCCUGGGAUGUGGAGUCCCAUGGGGCCUGACUGGCUGAUAAGGAGCCAUUUCCGGAGAAUGCAGGUGAUUGAACCCAUAAAAUGGUGACAGAGAGCCCUGAACUCCCCAUCUCAGGAGAGCUCUAAAAAUAGCACCCACAGCCAUCUGUCCUGGGGCUGGAGGGGCUGGCUCAGAACCAAGGGCCUGGACAAGUUGGCCCCAUCAGUCCCUAUGGGCUGAUGGGACAUCUGGAAGUACUGGAGGUCUGGGGAGGCCAGGGAGAGGAAGCUGGAAGGGCUUUAUGGGGAGACCUUCCCACAGCCCUUUCUCCUCCUGGGCAGGUGGGUUUGAGGGGGUUGGCAGUCUGAAGGUCCUUCCCCUACUCCGCCUCUCAGAGUGGGUGUGGGCCCUAGACUUAGUCUUCGGGUCCCUGCUCCCAGGCCUGCCUCUGGCGCCCCAAUGGCUACUCCAGGUGCUGAGCCUUUCUGCCCCUCACAAUUGAGAGGUCCUCUUCCUGGGUUCUGCCUCACCCUGCUUUUCCUGUUUGAAUCUUGGGUGAGCUUGGCUGCUCCAUCACCUCCCAGGGCUUCAGUUUCCUCAUCUGGAAAAUGGAGAUAAACUCAGCUCAUCGUCUUGUGAUGCCCGAAAUUAUGCACUACCUGGUGCAUAG
rnacentral:lncRNA from 1 species